GUCCCCUUAGCUCAACGGAUAGAGCACAAGCCUCCGGAGCUUGGGAUGGGGGUUCGAUUCCCCCAGGGGGCG
rnacentral:tRNA from 1 species